UUUCUGUAGCGGCGGCGGCGGCGGCGGCGGCCCUCGGCUGUACUGCGCAUUGAACACCUAGCCACAUAGGCCGAGUCUGCGCCGAGACGCGCCGCGCUGAGCUCUGCCUCUGUACGUGUACGCUGCUGCAGCCCAAAUCUCAAUGGUCCAGAGAGAGAGAGAGAGAGAAGAACGAAGAACAACCAGAAGAAGAAGAAGAAGAAGAGGAAGAAGAAGAAAGCAUUUGAGUGGUUUUCACUCCUCGUAGCUGGCUUUCACGCUGAUCAUCGCAAGCGAAAAAGCAAAAAAGCAGAAGAAAGGUUAAAGGUGCGAAUGAAUGCGAUUGAAGGAAGGAAGAAUCUGAUGAGUUUGUGUGUGCAUUUAAAGCUUUUGUAGCUACGAAACCCUCUUUCUCUAAUCCCAACGAUUCUAUUCGAUUCCAUUAUUUCCAAUCCAAUCCACUUUUUUCUUCUUCUUCUCUGUGAUCCGUUUCUUUCUCUUUCUACGGGACUUGAUUGAAAGUUAUGGAAAGCGACUGCUCGACGUGAUCGUUUUCCAUGCCAAUCUUUUGCCUCUUUCGUGUCCUCUAUAAUCCCUGUUAAGAGACAAGAUCUCGUGAUUCCGCAGUGAUUGAGCUUCUUGUACUUGUUUGACCCUAGUCUUUCGCUGUGAAAGUCCGGUGGAUUGGUGUUUUCUGUACCGGAGAUGUUGACGUGUAUAGCCUGCUCGAAGCAGCUCAACAAUGGAUCUCUGCACCAGCAAGAGGGAGAAGAUUCCGUUGCUACACCGAGGACUAAACAAACAAUCAAGGCUCUAACUGCUCAGAUCAAGGACAUCGCACUGAAGGCCUCGGGUGCUUACAAGAAUUGCAAGCCAUGUUCAGGCUCAUCGAGCAACAACGACAAGUAUAAAUAUGCAGAAGCUGAUUCUGCAUCAGAUUCGGCGAGGUUUCAUUGUUCCUACAGGCGGACUGGGAGUGCAAACUCCAUGCCAAGGCAAUGGGGAAAGGAAAUGGAGUCCCGAUUGAAAGCUCUGUCAAGUGGGGAAGUGAGUCCAGCUUCUGUAAGUGGACGAACUGAGAUUGUUUUCUUGGAAGAAGACGAACCAAAGGAAUGGGUAGCACAAGUUGAGCCUGGUGUGCUUAUCACUUUCGUUUCAUUUCCACAGGGAGGAAACGAUCUCAAACGGAUUCGUUUUAGCAGGGAACUGUUCAACAAAUGGCAAGCUCAAAGAUGGUGGGCGGAAAACUAUGAGAAGGUUGUGGAAUUGUAUAAUGUCCAGCGUUUCAAUAGCCAAGCUGUUCCUCGUCCACCUUCCCCUCCAUUAUCGGAAGAUGAUGCCUCGAAUACUCAAUCUACCAAGGACAGCCCUGCUACUCCACCUUUGACGAAUGAAUGGCCUCCUCGAAAUUCCGAUCGACCAUUGGGAAACUCGUCAUCAGAAUCUCUUGAUCACCACCCUAACCGACCCCCACAUUGCUAUGAUUUAGGUGGUUUAGCUCCAUCAGUUAAACCCUCUAGCGAAAAUGACGCAAAGAUUGAGACAUCAUCUGUAGAUGGUUCUUUGAGGACCAGUGAGGGAGAUCAGUCAGAAGAAGAGCUUUCUGUAAGUAAUGCUAGUGAUUUGGAGACUGAAUGGAUUGAAGAGGAUGAACCAGGAGUCUAUAUCACUAUUCGGGCUCUGCCAGGUGGCUCGAGGGAGCUAAGACGCAUUCGAUUCAGUCGAGAAAAGUUCGGAGAAAUGCACGCGAGAUUAUGGUGGGAAGAGAACCGAACGAGGAUACAAGAACAGUAUUUGUGACGAUGUUCUGAUUAUUCGUCGUGAGCCGCUGGGAUCUCGAAGAUGUUACAUGUUAACGGCCGUAGCAAGCUUCUCUUCUCUGAGCAAUGGUGGAUCUCUGCACCAACAUGAGGGAGACGGGAGCUAAAGCAAGCCGUUGAGGAACUUAUCGCUCAGAGAAGUUUCAUCUAUUUUCCGGCUAUGAAGAACGCGAGCCUAUGGAGCCUGUGUACUUGUGAUUUGUUUCCUUAGGACGUAAAUGAUUUCAGACGACUAAUUUCAGGUAUUGUUGGCAUUGAGCUGUUGGUGAAUACUCCGAUUUUUCUGAAUGUGGAUCUCAUAUGCUUGUGUUCUUGUUCUGGUAGUGAAUCUACAGAAAUUAGCAACUAGAAAUAGGAAAUUUUGGGAUUGUGAAUUGACAUUUUGUUUGCCACUAAGUGCGUCCCUCAAUGGGACCUAUCUCUUGGAGUGGAAUUCCUUUAAAAAGCUUCCACUUAGAAUUCUACUGGCAAGUUAGUCCUGUAAAUACAUUUGGUGAUUUCUGUCGCUAGCUGCCCCUUGAGAAAACUAGAAUACUCGUGCGGUAGCGCUAUGAAUAACAGUAAUCUAGCUGAGACAUUGCCUCAUGUUAUUCUUAUUUCAAUUUCUGGGCUUUUAAAUUCAAUCAUUCCCUUUUGAAUCUGAAUUAUGUAUGUACAAGCUUGUUUUUCCAUUCUAUCAGCUGUAAGUCGUUCAAUAAUAGAUAGCAAGCUCAAAGAUGGUGGAUAAGCAGUUCACCUUCCAACCUUCCAAGAUCUGAAGCUAAAGAUGAGUUUAAAUCUAUUACCUGUGAUUUGGAGCAGGAGUUUAAUGUUAGAUCUUCAACUCCCCCUGGUUCCUGAAGAUAGUAAUAUCCAUUGAACAUGGGCGACCCCUAGCAGAAGCGUUUAAAAAUCUUGAAGGGUAACUCGGAAGGAAAAGUUCAAAGAGGACAAUAUCGACUAGCGGUGAGCUUGGACGGUUACACUACAUCCAUAUCAGGGCACAAAAGGGAGUUUAGAUGUGUUCGCUUCAGGUAUUGAAGAUUUUAAUUAUGAAAUUGCCUGUUUUAUGCUCCACAUAUAGGACUCCAUUAGAUUUACUUUAUUAUAUCAUCAGCAGCCUCUUACUAGUUCGUGAAGAACAACCUAAACUUUUUGAAAUCCUUAUUUCUAAUUAGCUAGGCUUCACAUGAGUAUGAUAUGAAAUUAAUUCAAGUGAAAGUUUUGGAACGAAUUACCUUGAUGAUCAAGAUCAAGAGCAAAGAAAACUCGUUUUUCUAAACUUGUGAUUUGAAUCACUCCACAAAAGGUUUGAUCAAUAAUACUUGAAUGUCUCUAACAUAUAAGUUCUAAACAUAAGAAUUUGCAAGGUAAAAACUGAGCUCAACAAAGCUAAAAUAGAAACUCUAUUCCUCUCCAUUCCAAAAUAUGAUCUUAAAUUAAUAAAAUGAAUGACUAUUUAUAGCCUUGAAAAUAAACCUCAUAAUAACCCAUGGUUAAUUGUAAGGUUGUAACUUUGAUGGCUAUCAAUACCACAAUUACCCCUAACUAAUUGUAAUUUAUAAUUAAAAACAAUUUUCUAAAAUUUAAAAAAUACAAUAAAACAUUCUUAAAUCUAAAUCAUCCCUUUCAAGACUGAAACACCCUUAUUUCAUAUCAAAGUGUUUGGGUGAAGGUUUGAGUUCGAGGUUUGGCAAAAGAUGCAAAUAUUCCAAUGUUUUCUCUGUUGGUUUGUCAACCCGGACAAACCCAUGGGUUUUGACAUAACUCUCAUGCACAAACUCCUUAGCUUAAACUUCUAAACUGGAUAUUCACACACUUAAAUAUACAACUUGUGCAUAUAGUGUGCGAAAGUAAUUUUGUUACUUCAUAGAAUUGAUUAUCGUGCAUAGCUUAGUGAAUAAAAUAUCUAUUACUUUCUUUAAAGUUGAAGGUU